GGGGAGGGCAGGCCAAGGCCCGCCCUGAAGGGCUGACUGUGCUGGGAGCACACAAGAAACACGCAGCAAAUUGUCAAAAAUUAAACAAGAUAAUUGCCUUCAGUUCCAGCAAAAUUGUGAGGGAACUGGCUCCCUAUCAGCGGAAGGAUGAAUUGGCAUAGAUCUUUUUGGAAUUAAUUGUUGCAGUAUCCAUUAAGAAGUGGUUUUAUUCUUUGGAGAAGAAAUAUUAUACGUGCUCCUUAUUCAGCUGUUAUUAAUUAAGAUCCUAUUAAUUUAUUUCACUUCUUGUCUUGGUAAAAUUGAGGUCCACAGUUCCGUUUUUUACUUCUCAAGCCAACUAAUGAAUUUCCAGAGUCUGGCCUUAAAAAUGAAAGUCUACAUAGUUAAUAAAAGGAACCUAGAAAGAGUUUAAGAUGUUUCCUUUCCCCUGAAAUCACGGAGGGAAAGAUAUCGUUCUGAAUUAUAAAACUGAUUGAAGAAUUUGAUUUGAUAAGGUGUUGAAUUAAGA
rnacentral:lncRNA from 1 species